rnacentral:rRNA from 1 species
AACGAACGCUGGCGGCAGGCUUAACACAUGCAAGCCGAGCGCCCCGCAAGGGGAGCGGCAGACGGGUGAGUAACGCGUGGGAAUCUACCCAUCUCUACGGAAUAACGCAUGGAAACGUGUGCUAAUAACGUAUACGUCCUUCGGGGGAAAGAUUUAUCGGGGAUGGAUGAGCCCGCGUUGGAUUAGCUAUUUGGUGGGGUAAAGGCCUACCAAGGCGACGAGCCAUAGCUGGUCUGAGAGGAUGAUCAGCCACACGGGGACCGAGACACGGCCCAGACUCCUACGGGAGGCAGCAGUGGGGAAUAUUGGACAAUGGGCGCAAGCCUGAUCCAGCCAUGCCGCGUGAGUGAUGAAGGCCCUAGGGUUGUAAAGCUCUUUCACCGGUGAAGAUAAUGACGGUAACCGGAGAAGAAGCCCCGGCUAACUUCGUGCCAGCAGCCGCCGUAAAAC